rnacentral:lncRNA from 1 species
CAAACUUCCCUUGGCAUGCAAUGCUCCACAGUCCCGGUCUCUACCGUACUGUGACCGCACUUGCACCCACAUGAUGCACCAUGGGAACCUCGUUCCAGGGACAACAGGGGUAUAAGCCACACCCUAGUUCAAUCAGGUACUAGGCUUCCCCAUCCCAUACUAGGUAUGAGAUUAGUACUUUCAAACACUUGAUCACGAACACCACCACUGUCGGGCCUUAGCAAGUUUCAU